AUACUCAGUUUUGAUGUCCUCAUC
rnacentral:siRNA from 1 species